GCGGGAAUAGCUUAAUUGGUAGAGCGUCAGCCUUCCAAGCUGAAGAUCGCGGGUUCGAAUCCCGUUUCCCGCU
rnacentral:tRNA from 1 species